CGGAGUGCGAGGUUGUCAUGGCGACUGGGAAACUACUCGGCAGCUCCGUCCCGCCCUCCCUCACGGCCGUGCUUCUCCUCGUGGUCGCCCCUGCUGAGAAAGCGAGAGAGCCCGUGAACAAAAAGGGAGGAGCAUCUACAUGCGCAACGGAGAGUUGAUUGUCUGAGGACGAGGAAGAAAAGACUCUCCGUAUUGAACUUCCUCUGCCUCUUGUGAGCCCGAGGAAAACCCGUCAAAGAGUCGAUUGUAUUCAUAGCAAAGUCCACGUGGCGGUUACCUCUUGAAGCGUGCAUAUACGUGUGGGAGAGAGUGUGUACCUUGCGCUAGGAUGUGGUCAUAUUCGCUUCCGGGACCCAUGCUGGACUCUGCCUGUGUGUUGGAACAAGUCAUGUGGCGAUUCUACACAUCGAGGCUGAGAUUUUUUUUCUUAUGAGAGGAAGUUCCUUAUCUUGCGGAUCCUGAGGAGAUGAGGACGAGGAAGAAGGUUGAGAAGAUCCAAGCUGUCUAUGAGGUUGGAAAGAUCAGAGCGACCAGAGACCAUUCCGA